CAUGUCUAAGUAUAAGCAAUUAUACGGCGAAACUGCGAAUGGCUCAUUAAAUCAGUUAUCGUUUAUUUGAUAGUACCUUACUACAUGGAUAACCGUGGUAAUUCUAGAGCUAAUACAUGCUGAAAAUCCCGACUUCGGAAGGGAUGUAUUUAUUAGAUUAAAAACCAAUGCCCUCACGGGCUCUCUGGUGAUUCAUAAUAACUUCUCGAAUCGCACGGCCUUGCGCCGGCGAUGGUUCAUUCAAAUUUCUGCCCUAUCAACUUUCGACGGCUGGGUCUUGGCCAGCCGUGGUGACAACGGGUAACGGAGGGUUAGGGCUCGACCCCGGAGAAGGAGCCUGAGAAACGGCUACUACAUCCAAGGAAGGCAGCAGGCGCGCAAAUUACCCAAUCCCGACACGGGGAGGUAGUGACAAUAAAUACUGAUACAGGGCUCUUUCGGGUCUUGUAAUUGGAAUGAGUACAAUUUAAAUCCCUUAACGAGGGACAAU
rnacentral:rRNA from 1 species